rnacentral:rRNA from 1 species
UACGUAGGGUGCGAGCGUUGUCCGGAAUUAUUGGGCGUAAAGAGCGUGUAGGCGGCCCGGUAAGUCCGCUGUGAAAGUCGAGGGCUCAACCCUUGAAUGCCGACCGAUACUGCCGGGCUAGAGUCCGGAAGAGGCGAGUGGAAUUCCUGGUGUAGCGGUGAAAUGCGCAGAUAUCAGGAGGAACACCAAUGGCGAAGGCAGCUCGCUGGGACGUGACUGACGCUGAGACGCGAAAGCGUGGGGAGCAAACAGG